rnacentral:rRNA from 1 species
CCUACGGGCGGCAGCAGUGAGGAAUAUUGGUCAAUGGACGAGAGUCUGAACCAGCCAAGUAGCGUGAAGGAUGACUGCCCUAUGGGUUGUAAACUUCUUUUAUAUGGGAAUAAAAUGUUCCCCGUGUGGGAUUUUGUAUGUACAAUAUGAAUAAGGAUCGGCUAACUCCGUGCCAGCAGCCGCGGUAAUACGGAGGAUCCGAGCGUUAUCCGGAUUUAUUGGGUUUAAAGGGAGCGUAGGUGGAUUGUUAAGUCAGUUGUGAAAGUUUGCGGCUCAACCGUAAAAUUGCAGUUGAAACUGGCAGUCUUGAGUACAGUAGAGGUGGGCGGAAUUCGUGGUGUAGCGGUGAAAUGCUUAGAUAUCACGAAGAACUCCGAUUGCGAAGGCAGUUCACUGGACUGCAACUGACACUGAGGCUCGAAAGUGUGGGUAUCAAACAGGAUUAGAUACCCUAGUAGUC